GAUGAACGCUGGCGGCGUGCCUAAUACAUGCAAGUCGAGCGAACGGACGAGAAGCUUGCUUUUCUGAUGUUAGCGGCGGACGGGUGAGUAACACGUGGAUAACCUACCUAUAAGACUGGGAUAACUUCGGGAAACCGGAGCUAAUACCGGAUAAUAUUUUGAACCGCAUGGUUCAAAAGUGAAAGACGGUCUUGCUGUCACUUAUAGAUGGAUCCGCGCUGCAUUAGCUAGUUGGUAAAGUAACGGCUUACCAAGGCAACGAUGCAUAGCCGACCUGAGAGGGUGAUAGGCCACACUGGAACUGAGACACGGUCCAGACUCCUACGGGAGGCAGCAGUAGGGAAUCUUCCGCAAUGGGCGAAAGCCUGACGGAGCAACGCCGCGUGAGUGAUGAAGGUCUUCGGAUCGUAAAACUCUGUUAUUAGGGAAGAACAUAUGUGUAAGUAACUGUGCACAUCUUGACGGUACCUAAUCAGAAAGCCACGGCUAACUACGUG
rnacentral:rRNA from 1 species